GAUAAGACUUGACCCCAAAGUGUCCAUCAUCAUCAGGAGUAUCUUUCAAAUCUUCUGAGUUAUUUUCACUAGUCAAAGAAUCAGGUGGUUUAUCUACCACACUUGGUUCUGUACUUUCAUAGUCAUCAGGGCAAGAAGGCAUUUCUGUUGCCACCUUCCGAUGCUUCUCUCGGGCAUUAGCAACAGCAAAUGCCGCAGCAUCUCUUUUCUUUUGAAGAUUCUCUAGCGAUGCUUGCUCUUUAGCCAAAAUAGCAGCUUCCCGCUUCUCUAACAUUUGACGUGCCUCUGUUGUUUUGGUUU
rnacentral:misc_RNA from 1 species